CAUAAAGAGGGUUAGAGACUUGCCCUUGUCCCUCAACUCACAAGUGGAAGAGCUGAGAUUCACAUCCAGAGGAUUGUCUACCUUCACGUAUUUUUAACAGUGAGCUGCAGAAGAGUAAAUCCCUGGCCAGUUAACAGUAUUGAAAUGACCGAACAGCUUCUCUCUUGAAAAACAAGACUAAUGGUCUGUGGGAAUUCUGGGAAGGUGGUAGAGAAGCAUCAGGUGUUAUAGGAGAAAAGGCCUUCAAUUGUCUUAAGGAUGGUGUGAGAAGCUUACUCCUCCUGAAUCCCAGCCAGGACCAACUAGACAUUUGGUUGAAGAUGGACGGUGUGUUAAAGAAGUGGAUGGCAUAUAGAAGCAUGGAUUCUGGACAUGGCUGUGCCACUAAGUACAGAAGUAACAUGAGUGAGAAUAUAGAUCAGCACCCCCUUUCUAAAGAAGAGGAAACACACUUCACAUAACUUAUUCUCUUCAAUCUGAUAGUGACAAAGCUCUGCCUAAAUCUGUAUUCUUUGGAGUCUAGUAUAACUUUUUUCCCCACUGCAUCAAAGCAGGAAGUCUUUCCUUAUGUUUAAAUAAUUCUCUUUUGUGAUUUAGAUCCUUCCUUCUUGUUCUGGCCUCGGCAAGGACCAGACCAGGAGAGCAGCUGGUCACCAUUUUUUAUAUGUGAACAUUAUAAAUAAAACGUUUUCCAAACCUGC